rnacentral:lncRNA from 1 species
ACACACUGCACAGAAUUACGUAAAGAGAAGAUUUACAUGUAAACUUGUUUAAAUAACAUCAAACAACUGAGCCGUGUUACAGUAGUUUGUCACUAGCAACUGACUCUUUGCUCCACUAUAAUGCAGUGAAAAGGGAGAAUUUAGACCAUCACUUGCUGUCAAUACCUCUCUAUGUCGUUGUCCAUCAGGGGAGACAACUACAACAUUUUUCGAGUUGAACCCCACCACGUACACAUUACCAUCACUAUCUACAUCAAUGCCACGAGGACUCUUAAGAAUGUUCUUAUUUUGGAAUGUCCAUUGUAUUUCUCCUUGUAGAUUAUAACAUGUGACAGUUUCUGUUUCAUUGUUUGUAUGAUAUAUGUUAUCCCUAAAUGUUGCAGUGUAACAGCCACAUGGCAUGGUGUCCCGCACUAUUGUACAUAUCGAAUCGUCGUACAUAUUUAUCAUUCGUAUACCUUUCUUAUCGGAAUAAAUCAAUCGAUUAUCUUUCAGUGCUAUGCCAUAACUAUUUGAAUCUAGUGAAAUUGUUUUUGUGAUUUGUUUCUUCUCCAAGUCUAUAAUAGAAAUACACUUCUUCUUUGAACCACCAGAUGUGACAGCCAAUGUAUUGUCCUCACUGAUGUACACUAUAGCAAACGCGUUACACGGCAUCUUCACUUCAAAGUCUUUUAAUCCUUUCAUGUUAAACAUAAUAACCUUACAUUCAUAGAAGAAAGUAAACGCCAUUCUACCAUCCGGCAGCAUGCAACAUC